ACUUCGUAAAUGUCAAAAUAACUCUUUCGAUGCCAAAUAAUUAUUGUUGUUUUAGUUUGUUGUGUGUUUUAUUUUACCGAAAUGCAUCGAAAUCGAGUCGUGCUUGGUUAUAAUUGCGUGGCCGCGGAGUCGCAAAUACCGUUUUGCGUGUUUGCUUUAGUUUUUCGUUGAUCUUUUAAGUUCUUAUGUCAGAUUUGUUUUUAUGUGUUUUACGCAUAGUUUUGUUUGAAAACACGGUGUUUUUGUAAAAUCAGUGCCUUCUUAGAAGUGUUAUGUGCCUUUUAAAGUCAUUUGUGAAAGCUCAAAUGCAGUGUUUUGGUGUAAAUAGUGUUGUGAAGUGUAUUGUGAUGAGGUUAGUUUUUGUUCCCGCUAUUUAGGGAUCUGGUCCCUGUAUCCUGGCUCCGGUUCGUGCCAGCUCAGUUUAUCCCGGGCCGGACAGGGGCUGGUCUGCUUAUACUCAACGGCUUCACAUUCUACAUGAAGAACCACCAAGCACACGGGAAGAAACAGUGGUACUGCUCAUCCAGAGAUGUCUUCGGGUGCCGGGCUGAUGUUAUAACGUACAAAGGGUUGGAUGGAAGGGACUAUAUUUCAAUAUUCAGGGGGAGGCACAUACACUACCCUCCCCGUUUGAGGCAAUGUCAUGACGGUAGAUUCAUUAGGGAAAAAGACUUUAUCAAUAGACAAUCGUUGAAAUGAUUUUAGUAUUUUUAUUGUGUUAUAUGUAUACUAUUGUAUAGUUUUUACGGUUUAAUUUUUCUGAUGAAAUUAUGUGAUGAAGUACUUAUAUUUAACUAUACAGAGGUGACUUUUGAACGCAUGUUUCUGCUGUAGGGACCUGCUAGAUUGUAGAUUGACAGUAUAAAUUUUGUGAAGAUUUUAGAAAAUACAGUAUUCUGAUAAAUGACUAUUUGUUAUUAGAGAUUUUAAACAUA